ACGUAGGGGGCGAGCGUUGUCCGGAAUCAUUGGGCGUAAAGCGCGUGUAGGCGGUUACGUAAGUCUGCUGUGAAAGUCGGAGGCUCAACCUUCGAAAGCCGGUGGAUACUGCGUGACUUGAGUACGGAAGAGGAGAGUGGAAUUCCUGGUGUAGCGGUGAAAUGCGCAGAUAUCAGGAGGAACACCAACGGCGAAGGCAGCUCUCUGGGACGUAACUGACGCUGAGACGCGAAAGCGUGGGGAGCAAACAG
rnacentral:rRNA from 1 species